GAGACAGAUGGGUGAGGAAGUGGUCUCAGUCGGGGGCCUAGAGUAACUGGUGUUGGGGCACUCACUUGUCGGGAGCCGUUAUGGGGGGUCCUGCCUGUGACAAGGUCAUGAAGAAAAUACCGGGCAGGCAAGGCCGUCCGGGACCCCAUCCAUGACGAGGUCACGAGGAAAAAACCUGACAGGCAAGGCCGUCUAGGAUAAGGGACCCUCCAGGGUGGCCUCGGCCUCUACCCUACCCUGUAUCCUCCUCCCUUUUUCUGCUGUUGUUCUUGUUUGCCCUGUUGCAGAUUCUUGUGUUGCCUGCCCAGAGCUCUCCUGCUCCUCUUUCACUGAAUGAGGACCAACUUAAAACUCUAAUUAAUAAAUCUUCUGGACGCUGGUACCCUAUGAAGGGGCCAGAGAUGAAGGAAAUGCUUCCAUUCAAACAUUUUGCUGGCAUUCUGGCUUGUUUGAUAAAUGUGUGAUCUCAUUGCACAAAAUGCUCUUGAUUGUUCUAAACAUCCUAAGCACAGUACGCUAACAAAAGAAACUAUUAAGCAUAGGCCCCUUCGCGGGGUGAGAAAAGCUCCACAAAUAUGAUAGCCACAAAUGUGCCUAAUAGAAAAUUCUUUACAUAGAGAUUAGCUGGCGACUUCUUACAGGUGGUUAACUUUUAGACUAAGAGCCUGUUUUGUGCCAUAUCUGCUGUUUCUGCAGUCCUUUGCAUUUCUGUUCUGUAAAAAUGUAAUCCUAUCUAGUUCCCAUAGAGAUGACGCUUAUUAGAAAGAAAAUAGAUUAAUUAUAAGAAAAACAGGGUCGGCUACUGAAGUUGCUUAAGUCCCACCAGGUGCAAGCCAUAAAAUGUCAGCAGGCCUGAAGGCCAAAUGAUAAGACUCUUGUGAACGAAAAAGUAUGUGGGUGACAUCCUGUUUCUGUUGAAGGUCAAGUUGCUGUAAUGUUUUGAGAUGCCCUGUGUGUAAGCAACAUGCACUUCCCCCAAAGAUGUCGUUAAGGGUAUAAAGGGGCCGUGCAAAAAUAAAUUUCAGACUCAGCCCCGAGCUUUGUCUCUCUCUCUCUCUCAUUCGCCGACGCCGUUCAUCCUGAGGGUUCCCCUGGAUCCUGCUGGGGCUGGACCCCGGCGAGUGGUGCCCGAACAGGGACCCAAAGAGAAACUAAAGAAGUUUGGGACUGCUAAUGAAUAAAAGUAAGCUGAUGCAAAAACUCGAAUUUGACUUUUCUCUCUGUUAAAAGAACACACUUUUUUCAGAUGUUGAACUGCAUUUGACAAUAGAUUUAAGUUUAUUUACCUCUUAAAUGGUCUGUUCUAUAUUUGCCUCUAAAAUCCUAUAUUGUUACUUUGGCUGAGUAAAUAGCUGUUGUUUCACAGUGACCUGUAGUCCCAUCUGACUGAAUGCUCUAAACCUUUCUGUUAUUUGUUGACAAAACUUCCUAAAUUAUUCUGAUGAAGCGCUUUUAGCUUCUAGUUAACUUUGGGAUGCUUCAGAGGGCCCCUGAAACAUCCCAGGGAAAGAUAUUAAUAUAAGUUUAUUUCGUUGGUUAAAUUACAUAAAAAAGAUUAUCAAAUGAGUAAUAAAUCUGCUCAUGUUAUAAUAUAUGGUAAAAUUACUAAUACAGAUAUCCUAAAAAUUAUAUAGAGUUCUUAACAUUUUAAUAUGUCUUAAUAUUCUAAUGAAAACCCUGAUGACUUCACAAAAGUUAACAAAGGACUGAAUGAACCAGCGAAUAUGCUUAUAACUUUUAUGGUUUCUAUCUAAAAAAUUACAGGUUUGAAUCUUAUGUUUUCCAGGAGUAGGAAAAACCUUCCUCUCAAACUAAUUAUAGAAAAAAUUUGGUCUCUCAACAGGGAACGCCUCGGAGUCCUGAAUACAUUUUCCUGCUAGCCUGUGUCUCCCAAACUUAACUGAGCUUACUUAUCCAACCCCCCCACCUUUAUUACAGGUCAUAAAAUAGACGGAGAAAAGAUAGAUCAAAUCAACCAAUGACUCCGCACAUAUGCCCCCUCCCUGUAACCCUCACACCCUGGGGAGAAGAAAAAACUAAUUAACAUUUCUUUAGGCUAUGAAGUCUUUCCAUUGCCUGGGCCCAGAAAAAUUAUGCAUAAACAUCGGCCGACAAAUUUGGGCUUUCAUCCUACCUCCAAAAGAAGGCUUUCGGACAUUGUGGCCCUUUCUUUGUCUGUGAACCAUGUUUAUACUACUAAAACUUUAGGGAAAGAGUUAGGGAAAGAACAAAAAACAUUAUAUAUCAUGCUGCUUAAGUGGCUUAAAAGGUUUACUAAGACUAUAUUGAAACAUUACCAUGACAAAGGACUUCUUGGCUGGCUUGACAGUGGAAGGACACUCUCUUCCUCCUACUCCUAGAAUCGUCCUCAAUAAACAAAUUGGGCCUGAAUUAUGAGACAUAUAUAAAACAUAAAAACUUGCUGCCAACACCAGAAAACUUGAAGCUCGGACCGGACAUUUCACGGGGACCAGUCGUGAUCAUUGUAACUAUUUCUUUCGCUAUAAUCAGUCAUAUUUUAUACAAGCCUGUGUCCCACUUACAAUUUAAUCAGUAACUUGUAUUAAUUGCCAAUUUUGUGUUACUCCUGUUCAAUUCAAUCAUAGUACCUACAAGUGAGAACAAAUCAAAUUUCAUUUACAUGAUAAUGCCUCUCUAAAUGUACUAUUACUGCAAAAGAAAAUCUUUAAAACUUUUUCUAAACAUCUGCCCUCUUCCACUAAUUUGAAAACUUUAGCUGAACAAAUUAUCCGGGCUAAACCCACAAAGAUGGUUUUAAAGUAUUACCUACAACAUCGGGUCUAAAGCUGUAACUUUAGUGAUUGUCUUGAUAAUUGUAUUUGUUGUUUAUCGUCGCCUUUCUAUAAGGUUGGUUAAUACUGGCCAAACUCGUUUGGUCAAGACCUUUUUUGCAGAUGUGAUAAAAUAGGAGGAAUUGUCAAAAAGCAUUUAACAGGAGGCUUCCCGUUUGCUGUUAUGGAUCUGUCAGGAAACCUCUGGCCCUUAUUAAUUCCUAAAUAUUCAAGAAUUGAGGGGAGAGGCACGCCUUUCCCUGGGCUGAAAAAUCCAGACAUUUCCUUCGUUAGUUUCUCAUUAUGGUGAUAAGUACCCUCUUCUCUCUUUAAUAGAGAUCGCCUUGUGUUCUGUAAGCCUAAAAUUUUAAUAUUUAUCUUUGCUGAAAAUAACUACAGUAUAUAUGCCCACGCCAUGUUGAUUAAAACACCUUUGCUCCAUCAGAGCUUUGGUCCCUGUGAAAUAGCUCCAGCAUAAGUUUAGAUUUAGAUAGACCGCAUGGACAGAUUAGAACAAUCGAGCAUUCUUGGCUGGAUUUUACUGCCGCUGGAGCUGCCAGUGAUUUCUUUAAAACUCUCUCUAACUUUAUCUCUGCCAAAAAUAUCUUAUCUACUGUUCUCAGUUACACCACUCUAAUAGCGCUGAUUCUUAUUAUUAUUGUUAUUCUCCCUUGUAUCGUCAGAACUCUUCAGCAGAACACUCAGAAUCUUGCAACUGAGAUCCAUCUGGCUGCUUUAAAAAAUAAAAAAGGGGGAGAUGUCGGGAGCCGUUAUGGGACGUCCCGCCCGUGACGAGGUCAUGAAGAAAAUGCAGGCAAGGCCGUCCGGGACCCCAUCCAUGACGAGGUCACGAGGAAAAAACCUGACAGGCAAGGCCGUCUAGGAUAAGGGACCCUCCAGGGUGGCCUCGGCCUCUGCCCUACCCUGUAUCCUCCUCCCUUUUUCUGCUGCUGUUCUUGUUUGCCCUGUUGCAGAUUCUUGUGUUGCCUGCCCAGAGCUCUCCUGCUCCUCUUUCACUGAAUGAGGACCAACUUAAAACUCUAAUUAAUAAAUCUUCUGGACGCUGGUACCCUAUGAAGGGGCCAGAGAUGAAGGAAAUGCUUCCAUUCAAACAUUUUGCUGGCAUUCUGGCUUGUUUGAUAAAUGUGUGAUCUCAUUGCACAAAAUGCUCUUGAUUGUUCUAAACAUCCUAAGCGCCGUACGCUAACAAAAGAAACUGUUAAGCAUAGGCCCCUUCGCGGGGUGAGAAAAGCUCCACAAAUAUGAUAGCCACAAAUGUGCCUAAUAGAAAAUUCUUUAGAUAGAGAUUAGCUGGCGACUUCUUGCAGGUGGUUAACUUUUAGACUAAGAGCCUGUUUUGUGCCAUAUCUGCUGUUUCUGCAGUCCUUUGCAUUUCUGUUCUGUAAAAAUGUAAUCCUAUCUAGUUCCCAUAGAGAUGACGCUUAUUAGAAAGAAAAUAGAUUAAUUAUAAGAAAAACAGGGUCGGCUACUGAAGUUGCUUAAGUCCCACCAGGUGCAAGCCAUAAAAUGUCAGCAGGCCUGAAGGCCAAAUGAUAAGAAAGACUCUUGUGAACGAAAAAGUAUGUGGGUGACAUCCAGUUUCUGUUGAAGGUCAAGUUGCUGUACUGUUUUGAGAUGUCCUGUGUGUAAGCAAUAUGCACUUCCCCCAAAGAUGUCGUUAAGGGUAUAAAGGGGCCGUGCAAAAAUAAACUUCAGACUUAGCCCCCGA